rnacentral:rRNA from 1 species
GAUGAACGCUAGCUACAGGCUUAACACAUGCAAGUCGAGGGACCGGCGCACGGGAGAGUAACACGUAUCCAACCUGCCCUUUACUCGGGGAUAGCCUUUCGAAAGAAAGAUUAAUACCCGAUAUAAAGGAUGGGGAUGCGUUCCAUUAGGUUGUUGGUGAGGUAACGGCCCACCAAGCCUUCGAUGGAUAGGGGUUCUGGGAGGACGGUCCCCCACUUUGGAACUGAGACACGGUCCAAACUCCUACGGGCGGCAGCAGUGCGGAAUAUUGGUCAAUGGGCGUUAGCCUGACCCAGCCAAGUAGCGUGAAGGAUGAAGGCUUAUGGGUCGUUAACUUCUUUUAUAUAAGAAUAUGUAUUAUAUGAAUAAGGGUCGGCUAACUCCGUGCCAGCAGCCGCGGUAAUUC